AGAGCCCGGUCUGAGGUCUAGAGAGAGCUCGGUCUGAGGUCUAGAAAGAGCCCAGUCUGAGGUCUAGAGAGAGCCCGAUCUGAGGUCUAGAAAGAGCCCGGUAUGAGGAUCUGAGGUCUAGAGAGAACUCGGUCUGAGGUCUAGAAAGAGCCCGGUCUGAGGUCUAGAGAGAGCUCGGUCUGAGGUGUAGAAAGAGCCUGUUCUGAGGUCUAGAAAGAGCACGGUCUGAGGUCUAGAGAGAGCCAGGUCUGAGGUCCGGUCAGAGAGGGGGACGCAGAUCAGAGAUCACUUUGAUUUUAAAAACUCUUAGAGGGGAAGACGGAGAACUACGGAGACCACAAAGUGACGUGCCCUUUCUAUUUCACCCGACUGUUUCAGUCCCGCUCGUCUUUGUUAAAACAGGUUAUGAUUUUAGCACACGUGUUAUAUUCAUAUUUUGGUUUGUUGUUACUUGAAUAUAUUCCCCCAGCGGCCAUGUUGCUGUGAUGUCACGCUUAGGGUGGGAAGCCCAAAUGUUGUCGUCACAUUUCUCUAAAUCAGAACUAAUGCAACAGGAAGUACGUUCACGCUGCCAGGAGUGGACUCAUAAAUACACGAGCCUUUAAACCAAA